AGUGGCGAACGGGUGAGUUUACAUCGGAACGUGCCCAGUAGUGGGGGAUAGCUCGGCGAAAGCCGGAUUAAUACCGCAUACGACCUGAGGGUGAAAGCGGGGGAUCUUCGGACCUCGCGCUAUUGGAGCGGCCGAUGGCAGAUUAGCUAGUUGGUGGGGUAAAGGCCUACCAAGGCGACGAUCUGUAGCUGGUCUGAGAGGACGACCAGCCACACUGGGACUGAGACACGGCCCAGACUCCUACGGGAGGCAGCAGUGGGGAAUUUUGGACAAUGGGCGAAAGCCUGAUCCAGCAAUGCCGCGUGUGUGAUGAAGGCCUUCGGGUUGUAAAGCACUUUUGGCGGGAACGAAAAGGACUGUGCCAAUACCACGGUUCGAUGACGGUACCCGCAGAAUAAGCACCGGCUAACUACGUGCCAGCAGCCGCGGUAAUACGUAGGGUGCAAGCGUUAAUCGGAAUUACUGGGCGUAAAGAGUGCGCAGGCGGUUUUGCAAGACCGAUGUGAA
rnacentral:rRNA from 1 species